AUCCGUCGACUUUAAAAGUCGUGAGGGUUCAAGUCCCUCUAUCCCCA
rnacentral:tRNA from 16 species